rnacentral:rRNA from 1 species
AAUAGACCCGGGUAGUCCACGCCGUAAACGAUGAGUGCUAAGUGUUAGAGGGUUUCCGCCCUUUAGUGCUGAAGUUAACGCAUUAAGCACUCCGCCUGGGGAGUACGGCCGCAAGGCUGAAACUCAAAGGAAUUGACGGGGGCCCGCACAAGCGGUGGAGCAUGUGGUUUAAUUCGAAGCAACGCGAAGAACCUUACCAGGUCUUGACAUCCUCUGACAACCCUAGAGAUAGGACUUCUCCUUCGGGAGCAGAGUGACAGGUGGUGCAUGGUUGUCGUCAGCUCGUGUCGUGAGAUGUUGGGUUAAGUCCCGCAACGAGCGCAACCCUUGAUCUUAGUUGCCAUCAUUUAGUUGGGCACUCUAAGGUGACUGCCGGUGACAAACCGGAGGAAGGUGGGGAUGACGUCAAAUCAUCAUGCCCCUUAUGACCUGGGCUACACACGUGCUACAAUGGACGGUACAAAGAGCUGCAAGACCGCGAGGUGGAGCUAAUCUCAUAAAACCGUUCUCAGUUCGGAUUGUAGGCUGC